GAUGAACGCUGGCGGCGUGCCUAAUACAUGCAAGUCGAGCGAAUGGAUUAAGAGCUUGCUCUUAUGAAGUUAGCGGCGGACGGGUGAGUAACACGUGGGUAACCUGCCCAUAAGACUAGGAUAACUCCGGGAAACCGGGGCUAAUACCGGAUAACAUUUUGAACCGCAUGGUUCGAAAUUGAAAGGCGGCUUCGGCUGUCACUUAUGGAUGGACGCGCGUCGCAUUAGCUAGUUGGUGAGGUAACGGCUCACCAAGGCAACGAUGCGUAGCCGACCGGAGAGGGUGAUCGGCCACACUGGGACUGAGACACGGCCCAGACUCCUACGGGAGGCAGCAGUAGGGAAUCUUCCGCAAUGGACGAAAGUCUGACGGAGCAACGCCGCGUGAGUGAUGAAGGCUUUCGGGUCGUAAAACUCUGUUGUUAGGGAAGAACAAGUGCUAGUUGAAUAAGCUGGCACCUUGACGGUACCUAACCAGAAAGCCACGGCUAACUACGUGCCAGCCGCCGCCGUAA
rnacentral:rRNA from 1 species